rnacentral:tRNA from 1 species
GGAGGAUUCGCCUAGUCCGGUCGAUGGCGCCGCACUGCUAAUGCGGUUGAGUGGCAACGCUCUCCGGGGUUCAAAUCCCCGAUCCUCCG